UACCAGCACCCCGAGUGGUCGGGACGUUUAUUGGGCCUAAAGCAUCCGUAGCCGGUUCUACAAGUCUUCCGUUAAAUCCACCUGCUUAACAGAUGGGCUGCGGAAGAUACUAUGGAGCUAGGAGGCGGGAGAGGCAAGCGGUACUCGAUGGGUAGGGGUAAAAUCCGUUGAUCCAUUGAAGGCCACCAGUGGCGAAGGCGGCUUGCCAGAACGCGCUCGACGGUGAGGGAUGAAAGCUGGGGGAGCAAGCCGG
rnacentral:rRNA from 1 species